GUCAAUCACCCACUAAUGAAUUGAUGGGCUUGUUUCGUGAGAGAUAAGGGAAACUGGUUGAUUAGGGGCUUUGAAAACAAAACAAAAUGCGAGAACAAAAACAAAAGUUAUCAGGAGAGUUAAAGGACACACCUGCGGAUACUUCUCUAUUCUGUAGCUCUGUAAAUUGUUCAUUAAACAGAGAGGAAACUCUCAGUGUGGACGAUAUAGUACUGACUGAUAACAACCCCGAAAAGAACCAGAA
rfam:Candidatus Altiarchaeum sp. CG2_30_32_3053 cg_3.0_sub100_scaffold_110_c, whole genome shotgun sequence.